rnacentral:rRNA from 1 species
UACGUAGGGUGCGAGCGUUGUCCGGAAUUAUUGGGCGUAAAGAGCUCGUAGGCGGUUUGUCGCGUCGACUGUGAAAACCUACAGCUUAACUGUGGGCUUGCAGUCGAUACGGGCAGACUUGAGUUCGGUAGGGGAGACUAGAAUUCCUGGUGUAGCGGUGAAAUGCGCAGAUAUCAGGAGGAACACCGGUGGCGAAGGCGGGUCUCUGGGCCGAUACUGACGCUGAGGAGCGAAAGCGUGGGGAGCGAACAGG